rnacentral:sRNA from 1 species
AAAGAAAUGACGACUA